rnacentral:rRNA from 1 species
UACGGAGGGUGCAAGCGUUGUUCGGAAUUAUUGGGCGUAAAGAGCGUGUAGGCGGUAUGAUAAGUCAGAUGUGAAAGCCCUGGGCUUAACCUAGGAAGUGCAUUUGAUACUGUCAUUCUUGAGUAUGGGAGAGGAGAGUGGAAUUCCCAGUGUAGAAGUGAAAUUCGUAGAUAUUGGGAGGAACACCCGUGGCGAAGGCGACUCUCUGGACCAAUACUGACGCUGAGACGCGAAAGCGUGGGGAGCAAACAGG